rnacentral:sRNA from 12 species
ACGGCGGCACGAGUUUUUAUCGUUUCCUCGUCUUGGACCCGGCCGGAGCCGAACGAUGUCAGGCCGGAUCACGCCGU